GAUGAAGAACGCAGCGAAAUGCGAUACGUAAUGUGAAUUGCAAAUUCAGUGAAUCAUCGAGUCUUUGAACGCACAUUGCGCCCGCCAGUAUUCUGGCGGGCAUGCCUGUUCGAGCGUCAUUUCAACCAUCAAGCCCCCGGCUUGUGUUGGGGACCUGCGGCUGCCGCAGGCCCUGAAAACCAGUGGCGGGCUCGCUGUCACACCGAGCGUAGUAGAUUUUCAUCUCGCUCAGGGCGUGCUGCGGGUUCCGGCCGUAAAAAGCCUUAUUUACCCAAGGUUGACCUCGGAUCAGGUAGGAAGACCCGCUGAACUUAAGCAUAUCAAUAAGCGGAGGA
rnacentral:misc_RNA from 1 species